rnacentral:rRNA from 1 species
CGACCGCCUGGGGAGUACGGCCGCAAGGUUAAAACUCAAAUGAAUUGACGGGGGCCCGCACAAGCGGUGGAGCAUGGGGUUUAAUUCGAUGCAACGCGAAGAACCUUACCUGGUCUUGACAUCCACAGAACCUUGUAGAGAUACGAGGGUGCCUUCGGGAACUGUGAGACAGGUGCUGCAUGGCUGUCGUCAGCUCGUGUUGUGAAAUGUUGGGUUAAGUCCCGCAACGAGCGCAACCCUUAUCCUUUGUUGCCAGCGGUCCGGCCGGGAACUCAAAGGAGACUGCCAGUGAUAAACUGGAGGAAGGUGGGGAUGACGUCAAGUCAUCAUGGCCCUUACGACCAGGGCUACACACGUGCUACAAUGGCGCAUACAAAGAGAAGCGACCUCGCGAGAGCAAGCGGACCUCAUAAAGUGCGUCAUAGUCCGGAUUG